rnacentral:rRNA from 1 species
GACGAACGCUGGCGGCGCGCUUAACACAUGCAAGUCGAGCGAAGCGGCGGACGGGUGAGUAAACCGUGAGUAACCUGCCUUAGACAUUGGGCUAGCCCCGGUAAACCGGGAUUAAUACCAAAUGGUCUAAGCUGGACUCGCGUCCAAUUAGCGAGUUGGUGAGGUAACGGCCCACCAAGGCGACGAUGGGUAGCCGGACUGAGAGGUGUAACGGCCACAUUGGAACUGAGAAACGGUCCAAACUCUACGGGAGGCAGCAGUGGGGAAGAUUGCACAAUGGAGGGAACUCUGAUGCAGCGACGCAGCGUGAACGAAGAAGGAUUUCGAGUCGUAAAGUUCUUUUAUAUGGGAAGCGGUACCAUAAGAAAAAGCCCCGGCUAACUACGUGCCAGCCGCCGCGGUAAUAC